GGCUCAGGACGAACGCUGGCGGCGUGCUUAACACAUGCAAGUCGAACGGUGACGGAUGGAGCUUGCUCUGUCUUGAUCAGUGGCGAACGGGUGAGUAACACGUGAGUAACCUGCCCCAGACUCUGGAAUAACCCCGGGAAACCGGAGCUAAUACCGGAUAUGACACCAACCUGCAUGGGUAUGGUGUGGAAAGUUUUUCGGUCUGGGAUGGACUCGCGGCCUAUCAGCUUGUUGGUGAGGUAAUGGCUCACCAAGGCGACGACGGGUAGCCGGCCUGAGAGGGCGACCGGCCACACUGGGACUGAGACACGGCCCAGACUCCUACGGGAGGCAGCAGUGGGGAAUAUUGCACAAUGGGCGAAAGCCUGAUGCAGCGACGCCGCGUGAGGGAUGACGGCCUUCGGGUUGUAAACCUCUUUCAGCAGGGAAGAAGCGCAAGUGACGGUACCUGCAGAAGAAGCACCGGCUAACUACGUGCC
rnacentral:rRNA from 1 species